UUCAUUCUAAACAAAACAAGCAAGUUUUUCUGCAACACCAUCACUGUGAUGUCAUGAGGUUUCAUCUUUGAAUAUAUUUCUGUUUUUGGCAAUUUUAGAUCAAUGACGAUGAUCCUAAUGCUACAAAAACUAAGGAAAGAGUAGAAGCAAUCUUAAUAUUUUGCAGGAACUCCGAAACCUUAAAACAGAAGGUACUACGUUUUCCAAGUGGAAUCUAUCUAGGAUAUAAAUAGAGUUGGUCACUUGUACCAAUUUUACUAUUCAUUUAUUAUUAUUGUUAUUAUUAUUAUUUUAUUUUAUUUUUCUGUGUAUCUUGCAGGAUCUAAACAGAGUAUUUUAGCCUUGGCCUCGUUCUAAGGCAACUCAUUGAAAUCAAAUGAGUUCAAAAAAGUUUACUUGAAUCAGUAGGGAUUAGCCCGAUUAGCCCAUCAUUGGCAAUGGGAUGCCCCUUGAAAAUGUCAGAUAGCCAAGACUAAUUAUUAAAAGAAUAAUUUUCGAC
rnacentral:lncRNA from 1 species